rnacentral:misc_RNA from 1 species
AGCAGCCGCGGUAAUUCCAGCUCCAAUAGCGUAUAUUAAAGUUGUUGCAGUUAAAAGCUCGUAGUUGAAUUUCGGGGUUAGUAGGUUGGUCAUGCCACUGGUAUGUACUGAUCUUACUGAUUCCUCCUUCCUGAUGAACCGUAAUGCCAUUAAUUUGGUGUUGCGGGGAGACUGGACUGUUACUUUGAAAAAUUGAGUGUUUAAAGCAGGCUAACGCUUGAAUACAUUAGCAUGGAAUAAUGAAAUAGGACGUUCGAUCCUAUUUUGUUGGUUUCUAGGAUUGACGUAAUGAUUAAUAGGGAUAGGUUGGGGGCAUUAGUA